GGCAGGGCAUGCGGCGCCGCCUGAUGCAGCGACGCCGCGUGAGUGAUGAAGGCCUUCGGGUUGUAAACCUCUUUCGGUGGGGACGAAAAUCACCGUACUAAUACCUCAGGCUCUUGCCGUAUCCCUUACAACAACCCCGGGCAAACUCUGUGCCCGCGCCUUGGGUAAUACUAAUGGGCCGAGCGUUCUCCGAAAUUACUGGGCUUAUCGCGUGUGUAGGCGGCUGUCUAAGCCCGGUGUGAAAUCCCCAGGCUUAACCGGGGAACUGCAGUCGAGACUGGUGUGCUUGAGUGUGGGAAAGGGAAGUGGAAUUUCAGGUGUAGGGGUGAAAUUGGCGAAUGUGGGGAGGAGGACCGGUGGUGAAGGCGACUUGCGGAACCGUGGCGGAGCGCACAGGAUU
rnacentral:rRNA from 1 species